GACGAACGCUGGAGGCGUGCUUAACACAUGCAAGUCGAACGAUGAAAUGGAGCUUGCUCCAUGGAUUAGUGGCGAACGGGUGAGUAACACGUGAAUAACCUGCCCUUAAUUUUGGAAUAACCCAGGGAAACCUGGGCUAAUACCAGAUAAGUAAACCUGUGGCAUCACAUGGUUUUGGAAAGUCUUUCGAUUAAGGAUGGAUUCGCGGCCUAUCAGCUUGUUGGUGAGGUAACGGCUCACCAAGGCGACGACGGGUAGCCGGCCUGAGAGGGUGAACGGCCACACUGGGACUGAGACACGGCCCAGACUCCUACGGGAGGCAGCAGUGGGGAAUAUUGCGCAAUGGACGAAAGUCUGACGCAGCGACGCCUCGUGAGGGACGAAGGUCUUCGGAUUGUAAACCUCUUUCAGCAGGGACGAAGCGAAAGUGACGGUACCUGCAGAAGAAGCACCGGCUAACUACGUGCCAGCCGCCGCCGUAA
rnacentral:rRNA from 1 species